UGGGGAAUAUUGGGCAAUGGGCGAAAGCCUGACCCAGCAACGCCGCGUGAAGGAAGAAGGUUUUCGGAUCGUAAACUUCUAUCCUUGGUGAAGAUAAUGACGGUAGCCAAGAAGGAAGCCCCGGCUAACUACGUGCCAGCAGCCGCGGUAAUACGUAGGGGGCAAGCGUUGUCCGGAAUGAUUGGGCGUAAAGGGCGCGUAGGCGGCCUGGUAAGUCUGGAGUGAAAGUCCUGCUUUUAAGGUGGGAAUUGCUUUGGAUACUGUCGGGCUUGAGUGCAGGAGAGGUAAGUGGAAUUCCCGGUGUAGCGGUGAAAUGCGUAGAGAUCGGGAGGAACACCAGUGGCGAAGGCGACUUACUGGACUGUAACUGACGCUGAGGCGCGAAAGUGUGGGGAGCAAACAG
rnacentral:rRNA from 1 species